GCAGCACCUGUCGACAUGAAUGCAUCACUACUAUUACAAAACGACGCGCCUGAAAAGAAGGGGUUUGUGAGCCCUUGGCCGGCUUGCCAGGUUAAUAAUCGUUUCUCAGUCUCAACUGGAUUCUCGCGUUCUCCAUGGCAUGUCAGAGCAAGAGCUUUAGCAGCUCGCUAUAGGCUUUGGCCAGGUAAAAUGGAAGGUUGUCGUGCUAUGCUCAGAAAAGUUUUGAAAAUCUGCCAUUUGAUUGUUAUGGACAAUUAAUGACUGUUAAGGUGUUUUCUUAUAAAUAUGGAAGUGAUGUUAUUUUAUCUUUGUAUUCAGUUUCAGCAAACAAACAAUGGAGAGCGUGAAGCAGUUCUUAAUGCAGUAUUGCAAAGAGAGAAGAGAGGCAGGGUAUGCCAUGUUGCAAGAUUGAUCCAUUGUCAGAUUUCUAUGAUACUUUAUCUGCAGGACAGAAUUGAGAUGAGGAAGCUAGCCUUGAUGAACUUACUCAACCUUGUCAAAAUUUAUCAGAGAGGUGAGUGAAAUGACUAAUUCAAAUGCAAAAAGCAGUGGCACUAAACCCGCUCAAAGCAGCCUCGCUUUACAGAGGGAGAGAACAGGGAAGUUGCAACUGAGAGAUUUGACAGGCUAUUUCCACCUGCCCGUAUAAGUUGCUAUAAUGUGUUUGUGGUGGCUGAAAAUGUCAUCUUUUUUUUUUUUGCCUUUUUUUCUAUUGUCUUCCACAAAGAUAAGAAGCAUGGACAGGAAAAUAUCAAGUUUUCUAUUGCCUUUUUUCUAUUCUUCUAUAUCUCUUUGGAUUUUCUCGCCCUCUCUCUCUCUAUCGAUCUACCUGUAGUGCUAUAUAUGACUACAUAAACCAAAUACAAUUAAUAUCUC